rnacentral:rRNA from 1 species
UCCUACGGGAGGCAGCAGUGGGGAAUAUUGCACAAUGGGGGAAACCCUGAUGCAGCCAUGCCGCGUGUGUGAAGAAGGCCUUCGGGUUGUAAAGCACUUUCAGUUGUGAGGAAAAGUUAGUAGUUAAUACCUGCUAGCCGUGACGUUAACAACAGAAGAAGCACCGGCUAACUCCGUGCCAGCAGCCGCGGUAAUACGGAGGGUGCGAGCGUUAAUCGGAAUUACUGGGCGUAAAGCGCACGCAGGCGGUUUGUUAAGCUAGAUGUGAAAGCCCCGGGCUCAACCUGGGAUGGUCAUUUAGAACUGGCAGACUAGAGUCUUGGAGAGGGGAGUGGAAUUCCAGGUGUAGCGGUGAAAUGCGUAGAUAUCUGGAGGAACAUCAGUGGCGAAGGCGACUCCCUGGCCAAAGACUGACGCUCAUGUGCGAAAGUGUGGGUAGCGAACAGGAUUAGAUACCCUGGUAGUCCACACCGUAAACGCUGUCUACUAGCUGUGUGUGCCUUUAAGGCGUGCGUAGCGAAGCUAACGCGCUAAGUAGACCGCCUGGGGAGUACGGCCGCAAGGUUAAAACUCAAAUGAAUUGACGG